rnacentral:siRNA from 1 species
CGCUGGUUCAAAUCCAGC